AUAAAGUUCCUUUUGGUAAGAAGUACUACUUGUCAUCAAAAUGGAUAAAAGGAGAUGUAUCUAGACGUAUUUUAGUUCUAGAUAUGUCCCUUUUUAUCCAUUUUUAUGACAAGUAUUUUCGGACGGAGGGAGCUUAUA
rfam:Triticum aestivum genome assembly, contig: Triticum_aestivum_CS42_TGACv1_scaffold_030651_1BL